GGUUAAUGAUUAUGGCCCAUCCUACAUUGUAGUGAAGAUGUCUGGCUUAUUCUUGUUAAUUAAUUGACUCUGGCUGGGACUUAAAGUAUUAAAGGACCUUCUUUCUUGAUGUCUUUGGGCGACGGGACAUCUUUCACUAUCAUUGGGGAGUUGUUGUACUCAAUCCUGGCCUGUCCGAGGCUUAACUUAUCCAUUACAACUGUAGUUACCGAGUGAGAUGGACUUUGAUGUACACUAAUGAAGUCUUACUCCUUCUCAAGGUGAUGGAUCAUCUUUUACCAAGAUAGGACAGCUUAUAUUCAUUAUACCUUUUUAAUUGUACAACAUUACUGUAUAUACUGAGAUAAUUUUAACUGUUGUUUAAUUACUGUGUAGUGUGUAGACUGUUUUACCUGUAUUUUAGUGUAGUAUCAAGUUUAUUAUAACAAUAACAGUGACUAUUUAGCUAACUAUUA
rnacentral:lncRNA from 1 species